AUGCAGCAACAAAAGGACCCACUGGGGCUGUUCUUGGCUGUUCUCUCAUCCAGGUGUUGGCUCAACUCAUGGGGCAAUGCUGCAGUGUGGGUGCAGGGCAACAGGGGAUUCGUGCCUUCAUCCACCCACAGUGCCCAUGUUCAUUUCCCACCCUGGAGCUGUCUGGGGAUCAGCCUAAUGCCCAACACAACCAGAGCAGCAGCUGACAGUGCCUUCUGGGGUGAACCUGACAUCAGCUGGCUGCCAUCCCAGCUCUCUGUUUGGACAAGGCAAGCAGGGCUACUCCUGAGAAAUAAACUGAAGAUAAUCUGGGAUGGUUGCAGCUGGGGAAAGCGUGCAAUAAGGAAUUCAAAACUGUCUCAUAUGGAUAAAAAUAGCAUCAGCGAUUGGCAUGUGUGUACAUCAGUGAACCUGGCUCACUGCAAAUUUAAUAAAAUGCUCAUCUGGGUGCUGGAGUAUGCUGCAGUCAUGAGAGGGAGCUGUGCUCCUGCAGAGCUGUGUGUCUGUGCCCUGCAAUGCCGGACAGACACACGGAUGGAACUCACAGCGCUGGCCUCGUCCAAUGCACAGAAACAAAAGUCUGCAGCUCCAAGUGCUCCUGGUGUUCCAGGGCCAAGAACGUACUUUUUGGCUUGGAGAGGGGUUGAAACCAGCAUGGACAACAAAAAGUUUGACUGGGAGGAAAAACAAGACGAAAAUGUGCAGGAAUAGGAGUUCACUUCUGGACACCAAUCAGCCCAACCACUCCACGGCAUGUCCACCUGAGCUCCUUUGCAUGCCUGCUGCUGCCUCGAGUCCUGCCUGGAGUCUCUGGCUGAGAUGAGCGCGCACAGGGAGUGCUGGAGGCCCACAUUGCUAAGUGCAUUUCUGGACUACUCUGGAUUCUGGUCUCCACUGGUUCAGACUGUUAGAAGUGCAGCAUGCAGGCUCUUGCUCAUCGACAGAAAAAAUGCACAGCUAAUGGUGGCUACUGUGCUGAAAGACAGGGCUUUUUUUGCAGCUGAGAAUUUGCUCUACCAAACAGCAUUAUUGUGUUCUUUGUAUCAGUUGUAGCUUCCAUUGAAAAAAAACAGGAGGCAUUGCUUUUGGAGCGACCUAAACAACUUUGGGAGUUCAGUUUUGCCAUGGGGACAAUGCCAGCCAGUCUUUAGGAAGUUUGCCCAGCUGUUUCAUUUCUUAUUCUGAUGCUGGGUUGUGAAGGUUGCCAAAAACUGUUUUCUGAAAAAUGUAUUGAGAAAGGAGAAAUGGAUCUGCUUAAAGAGGCAGCAGCCCAUGAUGGCUCUGCUGCUCUCAUGGCUGCCUGCUGCCCUGCGUGCCCCUGGAGGGCCAUGGGGUCAGCACCCAGCACCGCUGCCAGGGGACUUCCUCUGCUUCAUAAGAGCAUGGGAUAAUCUGAACCAGAACUGUACAGGGCAAGAAGCCGAUUCUAGUGGAAUGAAAAUCUGGAAGGGGAAAUGCUGGCUGAAAAAGAGAAGCAAAAAUCCACUCAAAAAUCCCGGAGGUCUCGGCAUUUCCCGCAACAUCAGAGCACUGUGUCUGAGUCCCUGGCAUAAAUCCUCAAACCUUGCUUUCUGCCUCUGCUUCUAACGGAAAAUUUCUGAAAGUUCUUACUUCCACCUCUGUGUGUGACAGUGGGAGAAUUUUAAAGCCGACAUUUUCUGGGGAGGAAAGCCCUGAGCUGAACUUCUCUCUGUACUGCACUCGAUGCUUAAACGUGCUGCCUUAAUUCAGCAACCUGAACCAGCUUGGUUGUGUUCCAGCUCGUAAACUGCUGCCAAGUUGUUCUCUCUCCUGAGAAUUCCCUUUUGCUCAAACUUUCCUUGUUUUGCACUCAGGUCACUUGGGACGAUGUGAACCACGUGUAAUCCAUUCAUACCAAACAGCUCCCCCAGCUCCCGUGCCCCACGGCUCAUUCACUGCCUUCAUUCUCUGGGCAGCUGCCAGCUCUGCUGUUCUGAGGGCAGUGCUUACAGGAAACUCCCGUGAAAAGGACUUUUGCAAACCGGUGCUGGAAAGGGCUCAAGGAAAAUUUUGAUUGCAACAUUUGGGCUUGCAGCGGAGAGAAGCUUGAAGAUACUGGGUAUUCCUAAGCAACCUCGUGCUGAAGGCUGUGCAGAAACUCUGAGAUCCGUGGUGGCUGUGCAAGGUCAGCCCCAAAGGGAUGGCACUGGGAUGGGCAGUGCCCACAGAGCUGCACAGAGCAAUCUCCUGGGCAUGGGCAGUGACCACCAUAGCAAUGCUGCUCCUGCUGCAUUCCUGGAGCACUGCUAGGAGUUUUACAGCCCAAAGGAGCGUGACAGCUGCCUGGCACCUGUGAGGCCUGUUGGCAAGCCCUGCCCUAAAGGCUCCCAGCCCCAAGCAGGAGGGCAGCUGCUGCCUCUGCCUUUUCCCCCAAUUUCCAAGGGCUGCAAUGCAGUGUGAGCUGAACAUUACUGCCCGGGCCAGCCAAAUGUCACUGCAGCAUGGGAGGACAAACCUCUCCCCCUCUCCAUUACCUCUCUUUACACUCUCGUGAUGCCCAUCCUGCAUCUUUUCUUGUCCCUUUCUCCUUGCUGGAUAAGGAAGCACAGCCCAUGCAUCCCUUUUGCUCUCCAGAGAGGAUGGUCCUGGAAGGGAUGUGUUAAUGUGGUGUUUUUCUGGAGUAAGAAAUGGACUUUACACUCAGACCUUAGGGUCUAUCAAAACCAAGCAAUCCCCAAGGCAGAGGCUGAAUGGAGAUGGUACCAUGGCUGUAGUGCUGGGAGGGACAGGCUCCCAUGUGUUUAAAUUGUAAAGUCCAUUUAUUACCCCAGAAAAACACCCAGAAUUUUUUAAAUUUUAUUUAUUUUAAUUGUAUUUUAUUAUAUAUAUAUGUUUACAUACAAGUUCCUAGUUCUCAUUUGAAAGAUAAAUUGGUCACUUUCUGAGCUCUGAAAGUGAUCCCUCCUCUGAGACCUCUGUUGACUCUGAGUUACAGUAAUACUAAAUAACUUGGGUAUUAGUGCCAAGCUGCAAAUGAGGCUUGCUCUGCUGGGCCAGAUUUCAAACAGAAAUGAGUGUUUCAGGCCCAAAAUUGUGUCUGUGGUCUCAUAAAAAAAAAAGGCAGAGCUCUGCUGGUUCUCCAGUUUUCUAUUUCAUUGCCAUUAAGGGAAUGAUCUCAUCCUGCCCUUUGUUUGCCCUUUGGUUAAGUUUUCCUCCCUGGUAGAAUGUUCAGCAGGCUGUCAGAGUGUGGCUCAGAUUUGGAGACACCAUUGUAACACCCCCAAAUCCCCAGUUGAUCACCAGCAGUUCCUUUACUCACAACCACUUUCCAGCCCCGCUGCAUCUCAUCUCCUCACCAUCCCCAGCUCACAUUUAACCACUGUCCCAGCCAGCAGCUCCCCAGGCUGGCUCUGCUCUGACAGCAGCUAAACCCAAACCAGCUCUGUUUACCUCUGCCUGGGCUGCAAUCAAACACCCCACCUGUGUCCCAACUCCUGCGGUCAUUUCUCCAGCCCCUUUGCUUCCAGCACGUCUGUGAUGUGGAAAUUCACCUGUGGGGUAAACCUUCAAUGAACAGUGCUGCUGCCUGCCAGGCAGGGAUUUCCAGCUGGCGGUUAUGCUGGUGUGAGCAGGGUCACACUGCCUGCACAUGUGAGAUUCCUUCCUUGCCAUCCUGCUGUAGCGUGGUCCUAACACCAGAGCCAUCAGUGGCACUUCCAAGAAAUGAAUGCAACUAGCAGAAAUUGGGCUUGAGAAUGAAAUUCAGGCUGCUUCAUUUAUGGGAAGUUCAGGGAAGCUGCCUGCGUUGUGCCUCUGUAAAUGGGGAUAUUAGCAGGUCUCGGAGCCAGACAUGGAACGUGUGGCUGCAUGGAGCUUGCAGUAUAUCAGGAUGCUCUGUAGACCUUAUGAGCAGAGCUGUCAGGCCAGGACUGGGUUGGAUUCAGCCCUGUGCCCUAAGAAACACAGAUGUGGGGCCAAAAAGUGUGCAUUGAACAACCAAAGGUGACCCCAGACCUACUGAAAUGAGAUGAUAUCUUAUUUUUAACAAGAUGGACCCUCCCCUAAGAAUUGAAGGUCACAAUGAACAUGCUCCGACAUCCCCUAAGUCCUUCACCAAGCCAAAAGCAGAGGCAGCACAUUUGUGAGCACAAAGUAAAUUGCACAACAUGAGGUACCUGAGUUGAGACUUGUACAGUCAUUAUGCCACACCCAUAAGUGUGUUUGUUUAAAACACAUCAGCCCUGACUAUGAAGACUCAUUAGCACAAGAAAAAAUAAAAAUAACAACACACAGUUCUCUUUUUUACUG
rnacentral:lncRNA from 1 species